UCCCUUGAUCCCUUUUGACUGGGUCAGAUUUGUGUGAAAUUUGUAUUCCUCUGUCAUUUAACGGUACUUUUUAAAAUUACUGAAAUUGUUUGAUGUUAUAUCAUGUCUCCAACUACAUCGUGAGUUUCCCAUGGGAAAGGAGGUGGUAUUCACCAAAAUCAAUUUUCUGAGUCUCCACCUUUCUAUCCAAACCUGAGAGUAGCGAGCAACGGAGACUGGGGGCGUGACCAAAAGUUAGGUGAGGACUGCGCAGACUCAGCAAUUAAACCCCAAUAGGCGUCCUCGGUUCCCAUGGUGACAACGGCCACUUCCUGUUCUUUUACCUGAAGGUAUCCGGCCGUUUGAGACUGUGUAGCAGCAGGAGGCUAAGGGCCCCGUUCCCAACGUGGUGAUCCUGGUAAAAUGCGGGAAUUGGGAAUGUGCAAGACGCCGCGAUUUCUCCAGAUGUUCCCGCCCCCAGGCCCAGCCCAACUGAGCCACAGUCAAGGCUCCAGUUAAGAGCGGAGUGUGCUCUGGUACGUCCGUAACUAGGUGACACCUAUUCCUGUUGGGCCACAGAUUCCAGCUGCCCAAUGAGGCAGGUUUCCUCAGCCUCCUGCUCCCUGUUGUGUCACCAUCCGCUGAUGCCCUUCGUGACUUCUGUGAGGUCAACCCCUUCCCAUCUGGGGACACUUCUCCUUCCACCUGUCCCUGGACCUGAGCUGUGUGAUCUGCCUCUUCCCACCUGGGGGCAGAGGGCCACCUGAACUACUGCACAACAGGCUUUAAAAAUGGGUCCUGACCAGCCCACGGUGCUCGCCUGUCGAGACAGCCACAGAGGCACGUCCUUUUCUCAGUCCGGCAAGCGACGCCGUUCACCCGG